rnacentral:rRNA from 1 species
GGAUAACUUCGGGAAACCGGAGCUAAUACCGGAUACGUUCUUUUCUCGCAUGAGAGAAGAUGGAAAGACGGUUUUGGCUGUCACUUAUAGAUGGGCCCGCGGCGCAUUAGCUAGUUGGUGAGGUAAUGGCUCACCAAGGCGACGAUGCGUAGCCGACCUGAGAGGGUGAUCGGCCACACUGGGACUGAGACACGGCCCAGACUCCUACGGGAGGGAGCAGUAGGGAAUCUUCCGCAAUGGACGAAAGUCUGACGGAGCAACGCCGCGUGAACGAAGAAGGCCUUCGGGUCGUAAAGUUCUGUUGUUAGGGAAGAACAAGUACCAGAGUAACUGCUGGUACCUUGACGGUACCUAACCAGAAAGCCACGGCUAACUACGUGCCAGCAGCCGCGGUAAUACGUAGGUGGCAAGCGUUGUCCGGAAUUAUUGGGCGUAAAGCGCGCGCAGGUGGUUCUUUAAGUCUGAUGUGAAAGCCCACGGCUCAACCGUGGAGGGUCAUU